GGUUAAGUUAGAAAGGGCGCACGGUGGAUGCCUUGGCACUAGGAGCCGAAGAAGGACGGGACUAACACCGAUAUGCUUUGGGGAGCUGUACGUAAGCGUUGAUCCAGAGAUUUCCGAAUGGGGGAACCCACUAUCUUUAGUCGGAUAGUAUCCUUACGUGAAUACAUAGCGUGAGGAAGGCAGACCCAGGGAACUGAAACAUCUAAGUACCUGGAGGAAGAGAAAGAAAAAUCGAUUUCCUGAGUAGCGGCGAGCGAAACGGAAAGAGCCCAAACCAAGAAGCUUGCUUCUUGGGGUUGUAGGACACUCUAUACGGAGUUACAAAAGAAAGUUAUAAAUGAAGCGGUCUGGAAAGGCCCGCCAAAGACGGUAACAGCCCGGUAGUUGAAAUGGCUUUCCCUCCAGAGUGGAUCCUGAGUACGGCGGAACACGUGAAAUUCCGUCGGAAUCCGGGAGGACCAUCUCCCAAGGCUAAAUACUCCCUAGUGACCGAUAGUGAACCAGUACCGUGAGGGAAAGGUGAAAAGCACCCCGGAAGGGGAGUGAAACAGUUCCUGAAACCGUGUGCCUACAAGUAGUUAGAGCCCGUUAAUGGGUGAUAGCGUGCCUUUUGUAGAAUGAACCGGCGAGUUACGAUUUGUUGCAAGGUUAAGCGGAAAAAGCGGAGCCGUAGCGAAAGCGAGUCUGAAUAGGGCGCAUAAGUAACAGGUCGUAGACCCGAAACCAGGUGAUCUACCCAUGUCCAGGAUGAAGGUAAGGUAAUACUUACUGGAGGUCCGAACCCACGCACGUUGAAAAGUGCGGGGAUGAGGUGUGGGUAGCGGAGAAAUUCCAAUCGAACUUGGAGAUAGCUGGUUCUCUCCGAAAUAGCUUUAGGGCUAGCCUCGAGGUAAAGAGUCAUGGAGGUAGAGCACUGUUUGGACUAGGGGCCCUUCUCGGGUUACCGAAUUCAGAUAAACUCCGAAUGCCAUGUACUUAUACUCGGGAGUCAGACUGCGAGUGAUAAGAUCCGUAGUCGAAAGGGAAACAGCCCAGACCACCAGUUAAGGUCCCCAAAUAUAUGUUAAGUGGAAAAGGAUGUGGGGUUGCUUAGACAACCAGGAUGUUGGCUUAGAAGCAGCCACCAUUGAAAGAGUGCGUAAUAGCUCACUGGUCGAGUGACCCCGCGCCGAAAAUGUACCGGGGCUAAACAUAUUACCGAAACUGUGGAUGAACCUCUUUAGAGGUUCGUGGUAGGAGAGCGUUCUAAGGGCGGUGAAGUCAGACCGGAAGGACUGGUGGAGCGCUUAGAAGUGAGAAUGCCGGUAUGAGUAGCGAAAGAAGGGUGAGAAUCCCUUCCACCGAAUAUCUAAGGUUUCCUGAGGAAGGCUCGUCCGCUCAGGGUUAGUCGGGACCUAAGCCGAGGCCGAUAGGCGUAGGCGAUGGACAACAGGUAGAGAUUCCUGUACCAGUGCUAAUUGUUUAACCGAUGGGGUGACACAGAAGGAUAGGGAAUCGCACGAAUGGAAAUGUGCGUCCAAGCAGUGAGUGUGAGAAGUAGGCAAAUCCGCUUCUCGCGAAGCAUGAGCUGUGAUGGGGAAGGAAAUUAAGUACGGAAGUUCCUGAUUUCACGCUGUCAAGAAAAGCCUCUAGGAAGAGUAGUACUGCCCGUACCGCAAACCGACACAGGUAGAUGAGGAGAGAAUCCUAAGGUGAGCGAGAGAACUCUCGUUAAGGAACUCGGCAAAAUGACCCCGUAACUUCGGGAGAAGGGGUGCUCUAUUAGGGUGCAAGCCCGAGAGAGCCGCAGUGAAUAGGCCCAGGCGACUGUUUAGCAAAAACACAGGUCUCUGCAAAACCGUAAGGUGACGUAUAGGGGCUGACGCCUGCCCGGUGCUGGAAGGUUAAGAGGAGUGCUUAGCUUCGGCGAAGGUACGAAUUGAAGCCCCAGUAAACGGCGGCCGUAACUAUAACGGUCCUAAGGUAGCGAAAUUCCUUGUCGGGUAAGUUCCGACCCGCACGAAAGGCGCAACGAUCUGGGCACUGUCUCAACGAGAGACUCGGUGAAAUUAUAGUACCUGUGAAGAUGCAGGUUACCCGCGACAGGACGGAAAGACCCCGUGGAGCUUUACUGCAACCUGAUAUGGAAUGUUUGUACCGCUUGUACAGGAUAGGUAGGAGCCGAAGAGACGUGUGCGCUAGCAUACGA
rnacentral:rRNA from 1 species